CGUGUAGGCGGUUUUUUAAGUCUGAUGUGAAAGCCCCGGGCUCAACCCGGGAAGUGCAUUGGAUACUGGGAGACUUGAAUACGGGAGAGGGUAGUGGAAUUCCUAGUGUAGGAGUGAAAUCCGUAGAUAUUAGGAGGAACACCGGUGGCGAAGGCGGCUACCUGGACCGAUAUUGACGCUGAGACGCGAAAGCGUGGGGAGCAAACAGGAUUAGAUACCCUGGUAGUCCACGCCGUAAACGAUGAGAACUAGGUGUUGCGGGUAUUAGACCCCUGCAGUGCCGCAGCUAACGCAUUAAGUUCUCCGCCUGGGAAGUACGGUCGCAAGACUAA
rnacentral:rRNA from 1 species